GAGCAAACAGGAUUAGAUACCCUGGUAGUCCACGCUGUAAACGAUGUCGAUUUGGAGGUUGUUCCCUUGAGGAGUGGCUUCCGGAGCUAACGCGUUAAAUCGACCGCUGGGGAGUACGGCCGCAAGGUUAAAACUCAAAUGAAUUGACGGGGGCCCGCACAAGCGGUGGAGCAUGUGGUUUAAUUCGAUGCAACGCGAAGAACCUUACCUACUCUUGACAUCCAGAGAAUUUAGCAGAGAUGCUUUAGUGCCUUCGGGAACUCUGAGACAGGUGCUGCAUGGCUGUCGUCAGCUCGUGUUGUGAAAUGUUGGGUUAAGUCCCGCAACGAGCGCAACCCUUAUCCUUUGUUGCCAGCACAUUAUGGUGGGAACUCAAAGGAGACUGCCGGUGAUAAACCGGAGGAAGGUGGGGAUGACGUCAAGUCAUCAUGGCCCUUACGAGUAGGGCUACACACGUGCUACAAUGGCGUAUACAAAGAGAAGCGACCUCGCGAGAGCAAGCGGAACUCAUAAAGUACGUCGUAGUCCGGAUUGGAGUCUGCAACUCGACUCCAUGAAGUCGGAAUCGCUAGUAAUCGUAGAUCAGAAUGCUACGGUGAAUACGUUCCCGGGCCUUGUACACACCGCCCGUCACACCAUGGGAGUGGGUUGCAAAAGAAGUAGGUAGCUUAACCUUCGGGAGGGCGCUUACCACUUUGUGAUUCAUGACUGGGGUGAAGUCGUAACAAGGUAACCA
rnacentral:rRNA from 1 species